rnacentral:snRNA from 1 species
UACGCUUCUCGGCCUUUUGGCUAAGAUCAGUGUAGUAUUCUGUUCUUAUCAGUUUAAUAAUCUGAUACGUCCCCAUCUGGGACCAUAUAUUAAAUGGAUUUUUUGAACAGGGAGAUGGAAGAAGAGCUUGCCCUGUCCAUCUCCACGCAUCGACCUGGUAUUGCAGUACCUCCAGAGCGGUGCACACUCU